ACUUGUGCGGCGGUCGGCGCGGGGCGCGAGAUGAGGAAAUCGAGGCCGCAGAGAAGGGACUUACCCAAACUUAAGCUUUGUGUGGGCCUUGGAGCUAGGCUGAAGGAGAAAGUGGAGUCUCACUGGGGCAAGUUCCUUCAACUUUCAGGGAUUCAAAUGACCUCACUUGUAGUGCGGGGCGUCCGGACCACCCCUCAGGAAUUGGGAUCAGGGCAAGAAUUACUAACUAAGCAAGCACCCCGCCUGGGAGGGAGCGUCCAGGACUGGUGUGGGCCCCUGUCUGUACCAGAGCGGAGGCCCGGGGCACGGUGGGAUUAAUUUCCAUGGGUGCAGAGAGGGGAGCCGUGUACGGAGUCAUUCUAGGCUUAGGGGAGACAGAGCAAAGUUAGCCUUCCCCAAACCUCUGUGCCUUCCUUUUCUUCCUGGAUUCCUACCUGGGGGUGGAGGUGGAGGCGGGGGUACCGCUGCCUUUCUCAAAGUGUGUCUAGUCCAGCAGUGAGCCCUCCUGGGCGUCUUGGCGCCCCAGUUGCUUCCUGGACGUAUUGGGGUUUCUCUGGGAGAAGGGUCUUGCCUGCAGUACCCUGGGCCUCCUGAAGAGGCCUCUGGUUGCGCUGCCUGAUUCAGGGACCCAGAGCCACGACUCGCCGAGAGGAGCUCCGGCGG
rnacentral:lncRNA from 1 species